CCCUAUCGUCGCCGCCGUCAUCCGUAGCCGCCUCCACCGCAUUGCUCAUUGGCCAUUAUUUUCUUUUGGUUCGUUAUCGACGAAAUCUUGCCGUCGUCUUCACCGUUUUCGAGAAGGUCCCGACGAUUGAAUUUCUGCACAGUUUCGACUGGAUAGUUUCUAUCUUUGAAGCUACGUUAAGGUACUGAGACCGAUUCGCAGGGCGGGGCUGGGAGCGAGUGAACGUUAGAUGUAGCUAGAUUUGAUUCUAGCCUCUUCGUCUUAUUUCUAUUGCAUUUAGAUAUGAACUUUGAACUUCGUAGAUAAUCAUUCGUUUAUCUGUUCCUACUUUAUUGUUUCUUCGUACCUACAAUAUCUAUUAGAACAAUUUCGGUUUGUGUUGCAUCAUAAACUUUAGUUUUGCUUAUAGGAUACUUCAGUUGAUUUUAGUUGCAA